UGAAUGUAAGCUGCCUAGGAACUUUAUAUGAUUUCCAGUCAGCUUACUUUUACG
rnacentral:pre_miRNA from 1 species